GAAGCUGCGGCAGCGAACGUAUCACCCAAGACAACUUUGCGGAGUUGACGAUUGACGGAGCGAAGCGACGUCAAAGCGUUCAUUAAAGUCGAGUUGGCUUAGGGAUACGUUCGUUGGGUAGGGGAGCGUUCUGUAAGCCUGUGAAGGUGGCCUGUGAGGGUUGCUGGAGGUAUCAGAAGUGCGAAUGCUGACAUAAGUAACGAUAAAGCGGGUGAAAAGCCCGCUCGCCGGAAGACCAAGGGUUCCUGUCCAACGUUAAUCGGGGCAGGGUGAGUCGACCCCUAAGGCGAGGCCGAAAGGCGUAGUCGAUGGGAAACGGGUUAAUAUUCCCGUACUUGGUGUUACUGCGAAGGGGGGACGGAGAAGGCUAUGUUGGCCGGGCGACGGUUGUCCCGGUUUAAGCGUGUAGGUGUGUGUUCCAGGUAAAUCCGGUUCACUUUAACACUGAGGCGUGAUGACGAGGCACUACGGUGCUGAAGCAACAAAUGCCCUGCUUCCAGGAAAAGCCUCUAAGCAUCAGGUAACACGAAAUCGUACCCCAAACCGACACAGGUGGUCAGGUAGAGAAUACCAAGGCGCUUGAGAGAACUCGGGUGAAGGAACUAGGCAAAAUGGUGCCGUAACUUCGGGAGAAGGCACGCUGACACGUAGGUGAAGUGAUUUACUCAUGGAGCUGAAGUCAGUCGAAGAUACCAGCUGGCUGCAACUGUUUAUUAAAAACACAGCACUGUGCAAACACGAAAGUGGACGUAUACGGUGUGACGCCUGCCCGGUGCCGGAAGGUUAAUUGAUGGGGUCAGCGCAAGCGAAGCUCCUGAUCGAAGCCCCGGUAAACGGCGGCCGUAACUAUAACGGUCCUAAGGUAGCGAAAUUCCUUGUCGGGUAAGUUCCGACCUGCACGAAUGGCGUAAUGAUGGCCAGGCUGUCUCCACCCGAGACUCAGUGAAAUUGAACUCGCUGUGAAGAUGCAGUGUACCCGCGGCAAGACGGAAAGACCCCGUGAACCUUUACUAUAGCUUGACACUGAACAUUGAGCCUUGAUGUGUAGGAUAGGUGGGAGGCUUUGAAGUGUGGACGCCAGUCUGCAUGGAGCCGACCUUGAAAUACCACCCUUUAAUGUUUGAUGUUCUAACGUGGACCCGUAAUCCGGGUUGCGGACAGUGUCUGGUGGGUAGUUUGACUGGGGCGGUCUCCUCCUAAAGAGUAACGGAGGAGCACGAAGGUUGGCUAAUCCUGGUCGGACAUCAGGAGGUUAGUGCAAUGGCAUAAGCCAGCUUGACUGCGAGCGUGACGGCGCGAGCAGGUGCGAAAGCAGGUCAUAGUGAUCCGGUGGUUCUGAAUGGAAGGGCCAUCGCUCAACGGAUAAAAGGUACUCCGGGGAUAACAGGCUGAUACCGCCCAAGAGUUCAUAUCGACGGCGGUGUUUGGCACCUCGAUGUCGGCUCAUCACAUCCUGGGGCUGAAGUAGGUCCCAAGGGUAUGGCUGUUCGCCAUUUAAAGUGGUACGCGAGCUGGGUUUAGAACGUCGUGAGACAGUUCGGUCCCUA
rnacentral:rRNA from 1 species